AUGAACGCUGGCGGCGUGCCUAAUACAUGCAAGUCGAGCGAACGGACGAGAAGCUUGCUUCUCUGGUGUUAGCGGCGGACGGGUGAGUAACACGUGGAUAACCUACCUAUAAGACUGGGAUAACUUCGGGAAACCGGAGCUAAUACCGGAUGAUAUUUUGAACCGCAUGGUUCAAAAGUGAAAGACGGUCUUGCUGUCACUUAUAGAUGGAUCCGCGCUGCAUUAGCUAGUUGGUAAGGUAACGGCUUACCAAGGCAACGAUGCAUAGCCGACCUGAGAGGGUGAUCGGCCACACUGGAACUGAGACACGGUCCAGACUCCUACGGGAGGCAGCAGUAGGGAAUCUUCCGCAAUGGGCGAAAGCCUGACGGAGCAACGCCGCGUGAGUGAUGAAGGUCUUCGGAUCGUAAAACUCUGUUAUUAGGGAAGAACAUAUGUGUAAGUAACUGUGCACAUCUUGACGGUACCUAAUCAGAAAGCCACGGCUAACUACGUG
rnacentral:rRNA from 1 species